AAAACAAAGCAGAAGCUGCCCGCUUCUCACCUGCACGCAAGGGUGUGCAUGGUCAAAUAACGAGCAAAUAGCGUAUUUGUUGGUAUUUUUGCGGGUAGCGUAUGCUGCCCGCUUUUUUACUGGCGG
rfam:Christensenella minuta strain DSM 22607 genomic scaffold Scaffold234, whole genome shotgun sequence.